rnacentral:tRNA from 1 species
AUAAACAUAUUUAUGCUUUUUACAACGUUAGAAGCUCUUUUUCUGAUAUUUCUUU